rnacentral:rRNA from 1 species
CCUACGGGUCGGCAGUGGGGAAUAUUGGACAAUGGGCGAAAGCCUGAUCCAGCCAUGCCGCGUGUGUGAAGAAGGCCUUCGGGUUGUAAAGCACUUUCAGUGGGGAAGAAAGCCUUGGGGCUAAUACCCUCGAGGAAGGACAUCACCCACAGAAGAAGCACCGGCUAACUCCGUGCCAGCAGCCGCGGUAAUACGGAGGGUGCGAGCGUUAAUCGGAAUUACUGGGCGUAAAGCGCGCGUAGGCGGUCUGAUAAGCCGGUUGUGAAAGCCCCGGGCUCAACCUGGGAACGGCAUCCGGAACUGUCAGGCUAGAGUGCAGGAGAGGAAGGUAGAAUUCCCGGUGUAGCGGUGAAAUGCGUAGAGAUCGGGAGGAAUACCAGUGGCGAAGGCGGCCUUCUGGACUGACACUGACGCUGAGGUGCGAAAGCGUGGGUAGCAAACAGGAUUAGAUACCCUUGUAGUC